rnacentral:rRNA from 1 species
CCUACGGGUGGCAGCAGUGAGGAAUAUUGGUCAAUGGUCGGAAGACUGAACCAGCCAUGCCGCGUGCAGGAAGACGGUUCAGAGAGUUGUAAACUGCUUUUGUACAAGAGUAAACCUGAAGACGUGUAUUCAGCUGAGAGUACUGUACGAAUAAGGAUCGGCUAACUCCGUGCCAGCAGCCGCGGUAAUACGGAGGAUCCAAGAGUUAUCCGGAUUUAUUGGGUUUAAAGGGUGCGUAGGCGGAUUGAUAAGUUAGAGGUGAAAUGUCCGAGCUUAACUCGGGAACUGCCUUUAAUACUGUUGAUCUAGAGAGUAGAUGCGGUAGGCGGAAUGUACGGUGUAGCGGUGAAAUGCUUAGAGAUCAUACAGAACACCGAUUGCGAAGGCAGCUUACCAAUCUAUAUCUGACGUUGAGGCACGAAAGCGUGGGGAGCAAACAGGAUUAGAUACCCGUGUAGUC